rnacentral:rRNA from 1 species
CCUACGGGAGGCUGCAGUAGGGAAUAUUGCUCAAUGGGGGAAACCCUGAAGCAGCAACGCCGCGUGGAGGAUGAAGGUUUUCGGAUUGUAAACUCCUUUUGUUAGAGAAGAUAAUGACGGUAUCUAACGAAUAAGCCCCGUCUAACUCCGUGCAAGCAGCCGCGGUAAUACGGCGGGAGCAAGCGUUACUCGGAAUCACUGGGCGUAAAGAGCGCGUAGGCGGGCUAGCAAGUCCGAGGUGAAAUCCUAUGGCUUAACCAUAGAACUGCAUUUGAAACCGGUAUUCUAGAGUAUGGGAGAGGUAGGUGGAAUUCUUGGUGUAGGGGUAAAAUCCGUAGAGAUCAAGAGGAAUACUGAUUGCGAAGGCGACCUGCUAGGACAUGACUGACGCUGAUGCGCGAAAGCGUGGGGAGCAAACAGGAUUAGAUACCCCUGUAGUC